rfam:Triticum urartu cultivar G1812 contig218198, whole genome shotgun sequence.
AUUGUACUUCCUUCAUUUCGAAUUAUUUGUUUUGGAUUUGUCUAUAUACGGAUGUAUCUAGACCCAUUUUAGUGCUAGACACCUCCGUAUCUAGACAACUCUAAGACAAAUAAUUCGGAACGGAGGGAGUACUAG